ensembl:snRNA U6 U6 spliceosomal RNA
GUGCUCACUUUGGCAGCACAUAUACUAAAAUUGGAACAAUACAGAGAAGAUUAGCAUAGCCCCAUGUGCUAGGAUGACAUGCAAAUUCGUGAAGCAUUCCGUAUUUUA